CAGUAGCCACGGUAAUACGUAGGUGGCAAGCGUUGUCCGGAAUUAUUGGGCGUAAAGGGCUCGCAGGCGGUUUCUUAAGUCUGAUGUGAAAGCCCCCGGCUCAACCGGGGAGGGUCAUUGGAAACUGGGAAACUUGAGUGCAGAAGAGGAGAGUGGAAUUCCACGUGUAGCGGUGAAAUGCGUAGAGAUGUGGAGGAACAUCAGUGGCGAAGGCGACUCUCUGGUCUGUAACUGACGCUGAGGAGCGAAAGCGUGGGGAGCGAACAGGAUUAGAUACCCGGGUAGUCCCUGUCUCUUAUAC
rnacentral:rRNA from 1 species